CCCCAAAUUGGUCACUCUCUCACUCAGUCAAACAACUGGGGGUACUGGGCCCUGAAGCUUGAUUAUAGUUCCCAGGUGGUCUCUUCCAGUGUAUGGUUCUGCCAUAGGACCUUGAUGAAUAAAAUUUCUCGGUUGCGGAGUACUAUACUCUUCUGGUCUACAAUGCCUACCUGUACCUCCUUGUAGGAUAGAUCCUCCUGGAGUAAAAAGAGCUCGUGGGACAAGAUGUGUGCGGGGUGUAGGUUGUACUUGCGUAGCAUAGAUAUGUAGAACAUAUUAUAAACCCUGGAUAGCUCUAGAGGUAGUAUUAGUCUGUAGACAGUUGUACCAUUCCGGUGUAAACUCUCAAAUGGUCCAAUGAACCGAGGAUU
rnacentral:lncRNA from 1 species